rnacentral:misc_RNA from 1 species
GAUGAAGAACGCAGCGAAAUGCGAUAAGUAGUGUGAAUUGCAGAAUUCAGUGAAUCAUCGAAUCUUUGAACGCACAUUGCGCUUCGUGGUAUUCCGCGGAGCAUGCUCGUUUCAGAAUCAUUAAAAAACUCACAGCCUGCGGAAUGUUGUCGGGUUCUUACUCCUUGUGGGUAUAACCUGCGGCAUUACCACCGGCCUGUAGGAUAUGGGCACUUUGGCGAUAUUAGCCAAUUGCCUUAAAGUUAGUGAGUGCGUGACUUUUUGUUAAUUUGCCGACCCUCAGUGCAACAGCUUUAGAUUCACUCCUGGGCACAAAUUGGGAGUCACCACCUGUAAAGAACACAGAUCUGUUGGGCAGCAAUGCUCUCCAGCUCUGACAACUUGGUCUGAAAUCGAGCAAGAAAACCCGCUGAACUUAAGCAUAUCAAUAAGCGGAGGA